rnacentral:lncRNA from 10 species
AAAAAAAGGCUGCUUCAACCCCUGCUGCAAGCAAAGUUCCGAUUCCCUCUGCUGGCUAUCUCGAAUAGCAAGCGAUUUUUGCAGCAACGCUGCUGCCGCUGGAACUGAACCUGAAGAACUCAAAUGCGGGCGGUGGAUUAUUUCUUAUCCCUCCUCCAUCUACCCCACACAAGAGCUGCUUUUUGUUCCUCUUUUUGCCAAGUUCCAAGGUGAGGAUACAAUGAGAAGACCUGCCUUCUGCAAACCCGGAGGCAAGCCCUCAUCAGACACCAGGUCUGCUGCCACCAUGAUGUUGGACUGCUCAGCCUCCAGAACUGAGUCUUGAGACUUCUCUUCUUUUGGUGUGGAUUCCGGAACUCCUUUCUGAAGCAAGAGGCAAAUAUCUCUCAGCAGAGAAUGCCAAGACCAAUCACUUAACCAUGGCAAUCUUACUCAGCAUGGUAAUUCCCACCCUGAUGGUCCCAAGAUGGCUGCAGCAGUUUCAGCCAUGUUAUCCUAAUCCACCAACAUCUGGAGGUAUCUGUCUUUUCAAUCUCCAUCUAUUACAAAUGUAGGAUACUUUUACCAGAAGGUCCUCCUCUAGACUACUACUCAUGUUUCAUUGGACAAAUUUGGUCCCAUGGAAUUUCUUAAGUCAUUUACUGAUGAGGAAAGUGGAAUUAUCAUGACUGGAUUAGACUACCUAAGAUUCACCACUCCUGAGCCUGGAGAAAGAUAAUUUUCUCAGAGCAAACAACUGCAUAUGGCUGAAGAUAGGAAUGAACUAUAAAACAAAAUUGGAGUCCUCCAGGAAAGAAAGGGGGAAUUAAAGGGAAAUGAUUGUGUAGGCAAAACACAAUAGUCUCCAAUGCCAAAUAAACUUUGUUUUGUUACUCUCUCA